UACGGAGGAUGCGAGCGUUAUCCGGAUUUACUGGGUGUAAAGGGAGCGUAGACGGCGGUGCAAGCCAGAUGUGAAAGCCCGGGGCUCAACCCCGGGACUGCAUUGGAAACUGUUGAACUGGAGUACAGGAGAGGUAAGCGGAAUUCCUAGUGUAGCGGUGGAAUGCGUAGAUAUUAGGAGGAACAUCAGUGGCGAAGGCGACUAUCUGGACAGCAACUGACACUGAGGCACGAAAGCGUGGGGAGCAAACAGG
rnacentral:rRNA from 1 species